GGGCGGCUCUGCCCUCCCGCGGGGCUCCCGUGCGGCCCCGGCGGUGUGGCGUCACGGAGUGGGGCGUGACGUCACCGGCAUCCAGCGAGGGAAGGGGCGUGACGUCAGCAUGGCAGCGCACGCGUUCGUUGCUCGUUGUCUGCCCCCUCGGAGUGCGGCUGUCCGUCUUUUUGCUGUGGGGAUUUGGCUCCUGUCAGACGCCGCAAAGAAGCGUUUGUGCAGGUGUCAGGCCAGAUUCAUCCCUGCUUAUCCCCCCUGGGGCUAUGAAUAAAAGAGGGAAAACAAGAAUCGAAGUAAUGCCAAAAUGAAGGGUUUGAGCUGGCAAACGCUCAGGUUUGGGUUCUGCUUUCUCCAGAACGGGCCCUUUGUUUUUACAGCACUCUCACACAUAGUUACCAGCUUCAGUCUCGUUGCAAAGUGAAGCCUGAAGUCCCAUCCGCCCCCUUCCCCCCCCUCACACCACUGCAACUGAUGACACGUAUUGAAGAUGUAUGCAGGUUUUUGAUUGUUUUCCCAUGUAAUACAUCCCCUUCCAACUUCGGCCUUCAGCUGUACCGCUUCCCGCCAUCCUCCAACCGCCGUGUUGUCACGGUGCCGUGCCAUUGGGUUUUAGCAGUGUGUUUGUAGCGUGAGGAAGGGACGUGAGCUGGGAGAUGUGCGGGGUGCAGGCAGCCGCCUCAGACAGGAACACAAGAGGGCAGGGUAGCAUUAAUUGUUGUGCUUCCUGACGUCAGACUUUCCUUUGCACUGCGAGCAUUUUCUCCAUUUGUUAUCUGCCUGGAACUUCUUAGGCUUCCCUAGUGAAGUUUCCAUAGUACCCACAAACCUUUAUAGCCUAUGGUGUUGGUUUUGGUUUGUUUUUUUUUUUUUCUUUUUCCCAAUAAUAAUUCUCUCUUUUUUGUCUUUUUUUUUUUUUUUUUCAUCUGGGUACAUAAUUCAAGCAAAUUAUAUGUUCUCUACAGCUGCAGUUAUAGCAUCUCUAAAUUAGAAACCAGUCUUGAAAGCGUUACCCGUGUAAUUACAACACUUUCAAGAAAAAAACACAUGAAGUCUUAUAAGAAGUUUAACUUACAGUAAAUUUAAUUUUCACGCAUAUCUACAUUAAGCACUAAAAAAUCCAGAAAUCCGCAGUUAGCCAGUGCUCGUGGUAAUGAUGACUUGUCUAUAGGUUUGUAAUGUCCAGAAACAUGUUUAAAAAAUGGAGCUGUAAUCACAGAAUCAUUAAGAUUGUAAAAGACCUCUAAGAUCAUCCAGUCCAACCGUCAGCCCAUCACCGCCAUGCCUGCUAACCGUGUCCCUCAGAUCAACUAAUGUCAGGCUUAACAUGAUGUGGUAAAAUAUGUUCAGACAUAUAACCUUAACUCUGACCCCCAUCUUUUUCACAGGGAAAUGGAAACUCCAUGCCUGUAUGCAUUACUAUCUAAUGUUAGUUUACAGGAGAUGAGAUAGAAAGUCACCAAGUUCAGUGGAAGAGCAGGUACAAGUGGUCACAGUAAUAGCAGGAGGAGGGCUAAAGUCACUGACCUUCAAAGACAUAACCAUUCUGUUUUAAAAACAAUUUUUUUUAAAAGAGAGCUCUGGGGAAUAGCUAAAGCAACAACAGAAAACACAGAUCAUGCACGGUCAAUCAGGAAUCAUUAGCUGCUUUUUGUUGAGUUUUGAUACUCGAGUGUGUAUGCAAACAUCCCAGAAACAGAACAGAAAAGAACUAGAGCAUUAACAAAACUUGAGGCAUAAAACAGGUUCAAUGUGAUUUGACUAAGGAAAACCUUCAGGAGAGUUCUUGGGCAGCCUGGUCUGUUGGGUGGCAGCCUUUCCCAUGGCAGGGGGCUGCAAGUGGGUAAUCUUUAAGGUCUCUUCCAACCCAAGCCGUUCUGUGAGAGUUCAUUAAGAGCUAAGCUGUGUCUGGGAAGUGGAUUGGAAGCAUGUAUUAAAAAAAAAAUUACUUGGAUGAUCUGCUCUUGAACUGUCUCGCCUCAAAAAAUGCCUGAUGACAGAUCCCCCAUACACACGCAUUCCAGCUCAGGAAAAUAGAUCAUAGAAUCAUAGAAUCAUAGAAUGGUUUGUGUUGGAAGGGACCUCUAAGAUCAUCUAGUUCCAACCCCUGCUAUAGGCAGGGACACCUCCCUCUAGACCAGGUUGCUCAAAGCCCCAUCCAGCCUGACCUUGAACACCUCCAGGGAUGGGGCAUCCACACCCUCUCUGGGCAACGUGUUCCAGUGUCUUACCACCCUCACAGUAAAGAAUUUCUUCCUGGCAUCUAGUCUAAAUCUACCCUCUUCCAGUUUAAAGCCAUUUCCCCUCCUUCUGUCCCUACCUGCUCUUAUAAAACAUCCCUCCCCAGAUCAUUGACUAUCCCUGCUGAAAGGGGUCACACAAUGAGACAGUUGAAGAGUAAAACGUGAAAUAAGGAGAAAAAUGAAUAUGGAAGCCAGUGUACGUUGAAGAAAUGCACAUAACCUUUGUUGCAAUGGUUUUGUUUUGUUUUUAAAUAUGGAAUUUUUGUAUUUUCCACUGAGGGUAAAUUAAACAAGUUGUUGAUAAAUGAUGAAUAAUUGCACUGUUUAUUGCACAAGCCUGACUGACUCAGCUGCCUAGAGAAUGCCUGCUAAUCACUCUCUUGCAGAUCCAUUCCUAAUAUUCUGAAUCUGAGCUGCUUCUGACAAAUGGUUUGUGAAAUUUCGAAAAUGAUGGAGAAACGUAUUACUGGUUAGAGGGGUCAGAGGUCCAUAUACUUAUUGCUAUGUGGAAACAGAAACAAGGGCUUGACUGUUUGUUGUCCAGGAAAGGUUCUUAGAGUAGGGUGAAUGUAGAGUAGGCAUACAAUUAUACAUACUGCAUUGGUCUGCUUAGCUGUUGGCUUUCCUUUAAGGCAUUAAUGAUAUUCACGGUGCUGUUCAUUCCAUGUUACUGGCACAAGAACAACUAAACAUAUCUCAGGUUCCAUAAGACAUCAUGGCCAUUGUGCAUAAUCCAUAGCGUGAGGUCACCCUUCCUAUAAUGAUACGAAGCAGGAAUAGUCCCUUGCUCAUGUUACAGUACAAAUAGAAAGGUGGAGACUCAUAUUCAAGUACUGGAGGAAAGCCCAAACAUCCUGACUUUUUUGACCCAUGACAAUGCUGAUUAAGCGUCCAAGAAUGUGGGAUCAGUAGCCAAUAAUACCUCUCUCCCAGCUCAAAGCUGUUGUUUGCGCUAGUCAGGCAGGAGUGGUUUUCACUAGCCCACUUCAUCUUGUUCUAAAGCUCAGACAGACAAAAGUUCAUGAGCCUUUCAAUGUCACUACUACUUAAAUAAUUAAGUAAUAUUCUUCAAAGGGUAGGGGCAUAUUAUCUUUAGUAAGUACAUCACUGCCAGCUUCUUUGUGAAAGUAAGAUGUGCUUUGUUAGAAAGAAGACAAUGAUUCGAACUAUUCUUAUUUUAUCAACACUACUUCUCAGCUGCAGUCAAACUUCAGAGCCAAUCCUUGAUCAGUCCAAGAGGGCCACUCAAGCAAAAUCAUACCAUCCCUGGAAGAGUGUGCCAAACUUCAAAGGUUUUACUAUUUGUCUUUCUUCUUAAAUACAGACAAUAUAUUCUUCUUUACCAACAUUCACUUGUCUUUAGGCAGCUUUAUCCUCACAUCUGGAUUUUCGUUGCUGCUCUUCCCCUUUUCACUGCUGAUUUUUUUUAUCCAAAGCUUCGUAAAGAAGGUGCACGUAUCUAUGUGAUGGGAUUUAUUGACUGCACUGUACUAAAUCAUAUUGUAUUUCACAAUGUUUAGUGUAUCUAUAUCCAUCAAUGCUGUAAAAGUUUCAUUUGAUAUUAAAGAGUUAUUUCAGUCAUCAGUGUAGUGUUCUGAAUAAAUCUUCUAGUGUUCA
rnacentral:lncRNA from 1 species